CCUACGGGAGGCAGCAGUGAGGAAUAUUGGUCAAUGGACGAGAGUCUGAACCAGCCAAGUAGCGUGAAGGAUGACUGCCCUAUGGGUUGUACACUUCUUUUAUAUGGGAAUAAAACGUUCCACGUGUGGGGUUUUGUAUGUACCAUAUGAAUAAGGAUCGGCUAACUCCGUGCCAGCAGCCGCGGUAAUACGGAGGGUCCGAGCGUUAUCCGGAUUUAUUGGGUUUAAAGGGAGCGUAGGUGGAUUGUUAAGUCAGUUGUGAAAGUUUGCGGCUCAACCGUAAAAUUGCAGUUGAAACUGGCAGGCUUGAGUACGGGAGAGGUGGGCGGAAUUCGUGGUGUAGCGGUGAAAUGCUUAGAUAUCACGAAGAACUCCGAUUGCGAAGGCAGUUCACUGCAGUGCAACUGACACUGAGGCUCGAAAGUGUGGGUAUCAAACAGGAUUAGAUACCCCAGUAGUC
rnacentral:rRNA from 1 species